AGAUCCUUCGGGRUCUUGAGAGCGGCGUACGGGUGCSGAACACGUGUGCAACCUGCCUUUAUCAGGGGGAUAGCCUUUCGAAAGGAAGAUUAAUACCCCAUAAUAUAUURAGUGGCAUCACUUUAUAUUGAAAACUGAGGUGGAUAAAGAUGGGCACGCGCAAGAUUAGAUAGUUGGUAGGGUAACGGCCUACCAAGUCCACGAUCUUUAGGGGGCCUGAGAGGGUGAUCCCCCACACUGGUACUGAGACACGGACCAGACUCCUACGGGAGGCAGCAGUGAGGAAUAUUGGACAAUGGGUUAGCGCCUGAUCCAGCCAUCCCGCGUGAAGGAUGACGGCCCUAUGGGUUGUAAACUUCUUUUGUAUAGGGAUAAACCUUUCCACGUGUGGAAAGCUGAAGGUACUAUWCKAWUAAGCACCGGCUAACUCCGUGCCAGCAGCCGCGGUAAUACGGAGGGUGCAAGCGUUAUCCGGAUUUAUUGGGUUUAAAGGGUCCGUAGGCUGAUGUGUAAGUCAGUGGUGAAAUCUCACAGCUUAACUGUGAAACUGCCAUUGAUACUGCAUGUCUUGAGUAUAUUUGAAGUAGCUGGAAUAAGUAGUGUAGCGGUGAAAUGCAUAGAUA
rnacentral:rRNA from 1 species